rnacentral:sRNA from 2 species
GUAACAAGGUUUCCGUAGGUGAACCUGCGGAAGGAUCAUUAAUAGAGCAAUGAGCAGUCAGCGCCCCGGGAGCAAUCCUGGGGGCCACCCUCCUCGGAGGGUUUAGAGACGUCGAGCCUCUCGGAGAAGCUCGGUUCAGACCUCCACCCUUGAAUAAAUUACCUUUGUUGCUUUGGCAGGACGCCUCGUGCCAGCGGCUUCGGCUGUUGAGUGCCUGCCAGAGGACCACAACUCUUGUUUUUAGUGAUGUCUGAGUACUAUAUAAUAGUUAAAACUUUCAACAACGGAUCUCUUGGUUCUGGCAUCGAUGAAGAACGCAGCGAAAUGCGAUAAGUAAUGUGAAUUGCAGAAUUCAGUGAAUCAUCGAAUCUUUGAACGCACAUUGCGCCCUCUGGUAUUCCGGGGGGCAUGCCUGUUCGAGCGUCAUUAUAACCACUCAAGCUCUCGCUUGGUAUUGGGGUUCGCGGUUUCGCGGCCUCUAAACUCAGUGGCGGUGCCUGUCGGCUCUACGCGUAGUAAUACUCCUCGCGAUUGAGUCCGGUAGGUUUACUUGCCAACAACCCCCAAUUUUUUACAGGUUGACCUCGGAUCAGGUAGGGAUACCCGCUGAACUUAAGCAUAUCAAUA